rnacentral:rRNA from 1 species
UACGGGGGGGGCAAGCGUUGUUCGGAAUUACUGGGCGUAAAGGGCUCGUAGGCGGCUAUGUAAGUCAGACGUGAAAUCCCUCGGCUUAACCGGGGAACUGCGUCUGAUACUGGAUGGCUUGAGUUUGGGAGAGGGAUGCGGAAUUCCAGGUGUAGCGGUGAAAUGCGUAGAUAUCUGGAGGAACACCGGUGGCGAAGGCGGCAUCCUGGACCAACACUGACGCUGAGUGAGCGAAAGCCAGGGGAGCAAACGGG